rnacentral:rRNA from 1 species
GACGAACGCUGGCGGCGUGCUUAACACAUGCAAGUCGAGCGGUAAGGCCCUUCGGGGUACACGAGCGGCGAACGGGUGAGUAACACGUGGGUGAUCUGCCUCGCACUUCGGGAUAAGCCUGGGAAACUGGGUCUAAUACCGGAUAUGACUUCUGGUCGCAUGGCUGGGGGUGGAAAGAUUUAUCGGUGCGAGAUGGGCCCGCGGCCUAUCAGCUUGUUGGUGGGGUAAUGGCCUACCAAGGCGACGACGGGUAGCCGGCCUGAGAGGGCGACCGGCCACACUGGGACUGAGACACGGCCCAGACUCCUACGGGAGGCAGCAGUGGGGAAUAUUGCACAAUGGGCGAAAGCCUGAUGCAGCGACGCCGCGUGAGGGAUGACGGCCUUCGGGUUGUAAACCUCUUUCGACAGGGACGAAGCGUAAGUGACGGUACCUGUAGAAGAAGCACCGGCCAACUACGUG